CAGCGUGUAGCUUAGUCCGGCGAAAGUGCCUGCAUCGGACGCAGGAGAUCGGAGGUCGAAUCCUCCCACGCUGACCA
rnacentral:tRNA from 1 species